rnacentral:snoRNA from 1 species
AGCGAAAUGAUGAAAUCAAACUUGUCUGAGACUGAUGAGGAUAUACUGUUUCAUAAGGUCUUCAAAGUUCUCUGAUUGCU